GACGAACCGUCCAAACGUUAUUCGGAAUCACUGGGCUUACAGAGUCCGUAGGCGGUCCAGAAAGUUGGGUGUGAAAUCCCUCGGCCUAACCGAGGAACUGCGCUUGAAACUACUGGACUCGAGGGAGAUAGAGGAAAGCGGAACUGAUGGUGGAGCGGUGAAAUGCGUUGAUAUCAUCAGGAACACCGGUGGCGAAGGCGGCUUGCUGGGCUCGGUCUGACGCUGAGGCGCGAAAGCGUGGGGAGCGAACAGG
rnacentral:rRNA from 1 species